GGCAGAGGACAGAGUCCCCUGCCCCUCCACUGGGGCAAGGCGGGAGCACCCAGCUCCAGGUGCCAGUUCAGGAGACAGGGCAAGGAUGGCUCGAAUGUAGGGACAAGAGGGCACCACGAGGACACAGAGACAGACACCAGAGUGGAGGAUGCCUGGGGCCACGGGAGCUGGGGUGGCGGGAAGGCUCCGGUCCAGACCCAGUGGACACCACAGCCCAGGACAGGGCCAUCAGGCUCCCUUGAAUAGGGGGUCCAUGUCUGUGCCUGGGGCUUUGCAGCCAGGCUGGGACGCUGUCAUCAGAUGACAAUGCCCGGCGGGAACAAUGCACGUAUUGUCAUGGCCAGCCCUGGCUCCGAGCGGGAAAUGUAAGCCCUUCCCUAGUUAUCACCCCCAGGGGAGCGGGGCUGGGCUCCAACUCACAUGAAG
rnacentral:lncRNA from 1 species